AGCGAAAUUCCUUGUCGGGUAAGUUCCGACCCGCACGAAUGGUGUAACGAUCUGGGCGCUGUCUCAACUACCCGCCCGGCGAAAUUGUAGUACCGGUGAAGAUGCCGGUUACCUGCGACAAGACGGAAAGACCCCAUGGAGCUUUACUGCAGCUUGAUAUUGGGUUUCGGUAAUUUAUGUACAGGAUAGGCGGGAGACAGGGAAGCCGGUGCGCCAGCAUCGGUGGAGUCGCCGUUGGGAUACCGCUCUUAAAUUGCUGGAAUUCUAACCUGCGGCCAUGAAACUGGUCGGGGGACAUUGUCAGGCGGGCAGUUUGACUGGGGCGGUCGCCUCCGAAAGAGUAACGGAGGCGCCCAAAGGUUCCCUCAGCGCGGCCGGAAAUCGCGCGAAGAGUGUAAAGGCAGAAGGGAGCUUGACUGCGAGUCAAACACGACGAGCAGGUACGAAAGUAGGGCUUAGUGAUCCGGUGGUACCGAGUGGAAGGGCCAUCGCUCAACGGAUAAAAGCUACCCUGGGGAUAACAGGCUAAUCUCUCCCAAGAGUCCAUAUCGACGGGGAGGUUUGGCACCUCGAUGUCGGCUCAUCACAUCCUGGGGCUGAAGUCGGUCCCAAGGGUUGGGCUGUUCGCCCAUUAAAGUGGUACGUGAGCUGGGUUCAGAACGUCGUGAGACAGUUCGGUCCCUAUCCAUCGCGGGCGCAAGAGAUUUGAAGGGGGCUGCUCCUAGUACGAGAGGACCGGAGUGGACGAACCGCUGGUGUACCAAUUAUCCCGCCAGGGGUACAGUUGGGUAGCUACGUUCGGAAAGGAUAAACGCUGAAAGCAUCUAAGCGUGAAACCAGCCUUAAGAUGAGAUCUCUCAUAGAGCAAUCUAGUAAGACACCUUAAAGAAGAUGAGGUUGAUAGGUCGGGAGUGUAAGUACAGCAAUGUAUUGAGCGGACCGAUACUAAUAUGUCGAGGGCUUGACUUA
rnacentral:rRNA from 1 species